AGCUCCAAUAGCGUAUAUUAAAGUUGUUGCAGUUAAAAAGCUCGUAGUUUGAUUUCUGGCUGGGUAGCGAAGGCACGCCCGUGUGGUUGUCGCAUGAGCUCUCAACCAUCCUUCUGUUAACUCUUCGGGUAUUUACUUAUUCGCUGAGGGCUCAGAUAUUUUACCUUGAGAAAAUUAGAGUGUUUCAGGCAGGCUUUACGCCGGAAUACAUUAGCAUGGAAUAAUGGAAUAGGACUUCUACCUCUUCUGUUGGUUCUGAGGGGCUGGAGUAAUGAUUAAUAGGGAUAGUUGGGGGCAUUAGUACUUAACUGCUAGAGGUGAAAUUCUCAGAUUUGUUAAAGACUAACUUAUGCGAAAGCAUUUGCCAAGGAUGUUUUCA
rnacentral:rRNA from 1 species